rnacentral:rRNA from 1 species
UGGGGAAUUUUGGACAAUGGGCGCAAGCCUGAUCCAGCCAUGCCGCGUGCAGGAUGAAGGCCUUCGGGUUGUAAACUGCUUUUGUACGGAACGAAAAGACUCCUUCUAAUAAAGGGGGUCCAUGACGGUACCGUAAGAAUAAGCACCGGCUAACUACGUGCCAGCAGCCGCGGUAAUACGUAGGGUGCAAGCGUUAAUCGGAAUUACUGGGCGUAAAGCGUGCGCAGGCGGUGAUGUAAGACAGGUGUGAAAUCCCCGGGCUUAACCUGGGAACGGCCUUUGUGACUGCAUAGCUAGAGUACGGUAGAGGGGGAUGGAAUUCCGCGUGUAGCAGUGAAAUGCGUAGAUAUGCGGGGAACACCGAUGGCGAAGGCAAUCCCCUGGACCUGUACUGACGCUCAUGCACGAAAGCGUGGGGAGCAAACA